UCCCGGGUAGCUCAGUUGGCAGAGCAGGUGGCUGUUAACCACCCUGUCGGGGGUUCGAAUCCCUCCCCGGGAGCCA
rnacentral:tRNA from 1 species